UCGUCGGGGGUUAACCGCGAUUUCAGCAAACACGUAAUUCACCAGGCAACUUUUUUUUUUAUAAAUCGGCUUUGUUAACCUACAGUCGAUCCACGUACCCCAGGUAGGGAAUAAAUAGUAAAGGGCUCACAGUUAACUUUAGAGGAGAAAGUAUCGCAGGGUGGUCUGGUCGCUAUUACUGAUCUUAAGCUAAACCCUCCCUUUGUUGCCGUUUUCUGUUUCGGCCGAUGUAUAAAGCCGUUUGAGCCUUUUGCAAUCGUGUUCACUAGCCACACCAACGCUAAUCGCCAACCAGCUAGCUGCCCGCUGUCAACUGACAUUUAUGACAUAGUUUAACAAAUGUCUGCUUACUUUCAUUGAAAAAAAAUAGCCAAACAUAUGAGACUACAACUGGGACGUUACCAAACAAAAAUACUUACCUGGCAGUUAUAUUUGGUACAUUCGGUACAGAGACAGGAAAAUAUUCUUCCGUGUGCUAACCAACGUCGAGAUAAACACAACAACACGGCCGCGGUCUCGGUUUGAAACGGACCAAUCGGAUUCAAGCAGCAACUGCACAUGCGUCCUUUCCAUGCCGCGUUAAGGAACUGCUUUUGUGGUCGGAAGUCUCACGAACAGGUCCGGAGGCAAUGGCGUGUUUAAGGAGGAAGUGCAUCUCCGUCUCAACCUCACUCGCUGAACUGUGACCACUCGACUGCCGGUUUGUGGUCGCUGGGCCUGUACUUGGUCGGGAUCUGCCUCCGCUUUCUAUCUGACAGUUUUAUCAUUUGUUUUACUCUGACGGGUGUCUGGAAAGCAGUGUUGUUGUGGGACUGGUCAGAGUGUGUUUGAGAGGGUGGGGGGCAGCUAGUCUCAGCACCAACUGACACAGGGGACUCCUCUCUGGGCUCAGCUCUUGAAAGCAGCCCAGAUGCCAGUUCCCAGGACCAGCAGGUACAAAAAAACAGCAUCGCCACUGCUCCCGGGAUGUGACCAGCCAUUGUGAUUGACUGACUGGCUGCGCACAUGUACGGUAUGCUUUCAUAAAGAACGGAGAAAGCCGAAUGGGGAAGAUACUAAACUGCUCCACAUUAAGGGAUGCAAUUCAGAUCUUGCCUCUGGGGGGUAGCCGCAGCCAAUUUUUGUAGCAGUGUCACAGGGACCAUAGCCAAAGCUCCUUUAUUCUGAGCAUUAAAUGCAGUUUGUAGGAACAAAAAUUAAAAAGUUUGGUAGAUUGCAUGAAGAAAACGGUUUCCUCGAAAACCUCUUGGUGAGAUUCUUUUUCAUCUAACUCCUCCUUGUGUCCUUUGGCACCAUCUGUUGGUGUCAGUGGUUGUGGUGAGUGCUGAGCUUUCAGCACUGACAAAUCCCCCAUC